rnacentral:sRNA from 1 species
GCGAUGAGCUAAUUGCAUAAGACGAAAAAUGAGCUUUUGCUCAACAUAUGAAUGUGGUCAUAUGGUUUUUCGCCGCAAUACGUCAGAGAGGCCGUUUAUACGGCCUCU